AUCUGCCCCUAAGACGAGGAUAACAGUUGGAAACGACUGCUAAGACUGGAUAGGAGACAAGAAGGCAUCUUCUUGUUUUUAAAAGACCUAGCAAUAGGUAUGCUUAGGGAGGAGCUUGCGUCACAUUAGUUAGUUGGUGGGGUAAAGGCCUACCAAGACUAUGAUGUGUAGCCGGGCUGAGAGGUUGAACGGCCACAUUGGGACUGAGACACGGCCCAAACUCCUACGGGAGGCAGCAGUAGGGAAUUUUCGGCAAUGGAGGAAACUCUGACCGAGCAACGCCGCGUGAACGAUGAAGUAUUUCGGUACGUAAAGUUCUUUUAUUAGGGAAGAAUAAAUGAUGGAAAAAUCAUUCUGACGGUACCUAAUGAAUAAGCCCCGGCUAACUAUGUGCCAGCAGCCGCGGUAAUACAUAGGGGGCAAGCGUUAUCCGGAAUUAUUGGGCGUAAAGGGUGCGUAGGCGGUUAAAUAAGUUUAUGGUCUAAGUGCAAUGCUCAACAUUGUGAUGCUAUAAAAACUGUUUAGCUAGAGUAAGAUAGAGGCAAGUGGAAUUCCAUGUGUAGUGGUAAAAUGCGUAAAUAUAUGGAGGAACACCAGUAGCGAAGGCGGCUUGCUGGGUCUUUACUGACGCUGAGGCACGAAAGCGUGGGGAGCAAACAGGAUUAGAUACCCUGGUAGUCCACGCCGUAAACGAUGAGUACUAAACGUUGGGUAAAACCAGUGUUGAAGUUAACACAUUAAGUACUCCGCCUGAGUAGUACGUACGCAAGUAUGAAACUUAAAGGAAUUGACGGGACUCCGCACAAGCGGUGGAUCAUGUUGUUUAAUUCGAAGGUACCCGAAAAACCUCACCAGGUCUUGACAUGCUUCUGCAAAGCUGUAGAAACACAGUGGAGGUUAUCAGUUGCACAGGUGGUGCAUGGUUGUCGUCAGCUCGUGUCGUGAGAUGUUGGGUUAAGUCCCGCAACGAGCGCAACCCUUAUUGUUAGUUACCAGCACGUAAUGGUGGGGACUUUAGCAAGACUGCCAGUGAUAAAUUGGAGGAAGGUGGGGACGACGUCAAAUCAUCAUGCCCCUUAUGACCUGGGCUACAAACGUGAUACAAUGGCUGUUACAAAGGGUAGCUGAAGCGCAAGUUUUUGGCGAAUCUCAAAAAAACAGUCUCAGUUCGGAUUGAAGUCUGCAACUCGACUUCAUGAAGUUGGAAUCGCUAGUAAUCGCGAAUCAGCAUGUCGCGGUGAAUACGUUCUCGGGGUUUGUACACACCGCCCGUCAAACCACGAAAGUUGGCAAUACCCAAAGCCGGUGGCC
rnacentral:rRNA from 3 species